ACGGGAGGCAGCAGUGGGGAAUAUUGCACAAUGGGGGAAACCCUGAUGCAGCGACGCCGCGUGAGCGAAGAAGUAUUUCGGUAUGUAAAGCUCUAUCAGCAGGGAAGAAAAUGACGGUACCUGACUAAGAAGCUCCGGCUAAAUACGUGCCAGCAGCCGCGGUAAUACGUAUGGAGCAAGCGUUAUCCGGAUUUACUGGGUGUAAAGGGAGCGCAGGCGGUGGUUCAAGUCUGAUGUGAAACUCCGGGGCCCAACCCCGGAACUGCAUUGGAAACUGUGCCACUAGAGUGUCGGAGGGGUAAGUGGAAUUCCUAGUGUAGCGGUGAAAUGCGUAGAUAUUAGGAGGAACACCAGUGGCGAAGGCGGCUUACUGGACGACAACUGACGCUGAGGCUCGAAAGCGUGGGGAGCAAACAGGAUUAGAUACCCUGGUA
rnacentral:rRNA from 1 species